rfam:Chloroflexi bacterium GWB2_54_36 gwb2_scaffold_2016, whole genome shotgun sequence.
AUUGUAUAUUUGCCUUCACCGGUGAAAGCUGGUGCCCCAACAGGCUUAAUUUCCUGCCGAGGUGAAGACUGAAACGCGAUAUCCAUGCUGCAUGGCUGCAGCCGCGAAAAAGUCUUUGCCCGGCACUUCCAAGUGAGGCAAAGACUUUUUUUAUUUUGAUC